rnacentral:rRNA from 1 species
AUUGAACGCUGGCGGCAGGCUUAACACAUGCAAGUCGAGCGGGGUGAUGGUGCUUGCACUAUCACUUAGCGGCGGACGGGUGAGUAAUGCUUAGGAAUCUGCCUAUUAGUGGGGGACAACAUCUCGAAAGGGAUGCUAAUACCGCAUACGUCCUACGGGAGAAAGCAGGGGAUCACUUGUGACCUUGCGCUAAUAGAUGAGCCUAAGUCGGAUUAGCUAGUUGGUGGGGUAAAGGCCUACCAAGGCGACGAUCUGUAGCGGGUCUGAGAGGACGAUCCGCCACCCUGGGACUGAGACACGGCCCAGACUCCUACGGGAGGCAGCAGUGGGGAAUAUUGGACAAUGGGGGGAACCCUGAUCCAGCCAUGCCGCGUGUGUGAAGAAGGCCUUAUGGUUGUAAAGCACUUUAAGCGAGGAGGAGGCUCUUUUGGUUAAUACCCAAGAUGAGUGGACGUUACUCGCAGAAUAAGCACCGGCUAACUCUGUGCCAGCCGCCGCGGUAA